CCUACGGGUCGCUGCAGUGGGGAAUAUUGGACAAUGGGCGAAAGCCUGAUCCAGCCAUGCCGCGUGUGUGAAGAAGGCCUUCGGGUUGUAAAGCACUUUCAGUGGGGAAGAAAGCCUUGGGGCUAAUACCCUCGAGGAAGGACAUCACCCACAGAAGAAGCACCGGCUAACUCCGUGCCAGCAGCCGCGGUAAUACGGAGGGUGCGAGCGUUAAUCGGAAUUACUGGGCGUAAAGCGCGCGUAGGCGGUCUGAUAAGCCGGUUGUGAAAGCCCCGGGCUCAACCUGGGAACGGCAUCCGGAACUGUCAGGCUAGAGUGCAUGAGAGGAAGGUAGAAUUCCCGGUGUAGCGGUGAAAUGCGUAGAGAUCGGGAGGAAUACCAGUGGCGAAGGCGGCCUUCUGGACUGACACUGACGCUGAGGUGCGAAAGCGUGGGUAGCAAACAGGAUUAGAUACCCUAGUAGUC
rnacentral:rRNA from 1 species